ACACCAGUCGAUGCUGCUGGAGGACACUGCUAUCAGAUUUCGACAGCCAUGCAAGUUUGCUCACCGGCUUCGGUGGGCGGCGUACGGCUCAGUAACGCGUAGUCAAUCUAACCUCGAGAGGGGCAUAACCAUGGGAAACUGUGGCUAAUAUCACAUAGGCCAGGGGCUCUGGAAUGGAACUCUGGCCGAAAUCGCUAUGGAAAUUGUACCAUAGCGGCUCGAGGAUGGGACUGCGUCGGAUCAGGCAGAUGGCGGGGUUACGGCCCACCAUACCUUUGACCCGUAGGGGACGUGAAAGCGGAAGCCCCGAGAAGGGCACUGAGACAAGGGCCCUAGCGCUACGGCGUGCAGCAGGCGCGAAAACUCCACAAUGCGCGAAAGCGUGAUGGGGGGAGUCUGAGUGGCGCACUUCGGUGUGCCUUUUGCCAAGUCUAGUUAGCUUGGCGAAUAAGUGCUGGGUAAGACCGGUGGCAGCCGCCACGGUAAUACCGGCGGCACAAGUGGUGUCCGCG
rnacentral:rRNA from 1 species